rnacentral:rRNA from 1 species
GGAUUAGAUACCCUGGUAGUCCACGCCGUAAACGUUGGGCACUAGGUGUGGGCCUCAACCAACGAGGUCCGUGCCGUCGCUAACGCAUUAAGUGCCCCGCCUGGGGAGUACGGCCGCAAGGCUAAAACUCAAAGGAAUUGACGGGGGCCCGCACAAGCAGCGGAGCGUGUUGCUUAAUUCGAUGCAACGCGAAGAACCUUACCUGGGUUUGACAUGUGGGGAAAAGCCGUAGAGAUACGGUGUCCUUCGGGGCCUCACACAGGUGGUGCAUGGCCGUCGUCAGCUCGUGCUG